rnacentral:lncRNA from 1 species
GGGACUGACAGGGAGUUUCGGGUUAGUAGAUGCAGACUCUUACAUGUAGAAUGGAUGGGUGAUGGGGUCUUGCUGUACAGUACAGGGAACCUUGUCUGGUUUCUUGGGUUAGAAUAAGAUGGAAAAUUAAAAAAAAAAAAAAAAAAGAAUGGGUGGCUGAGUCGCUUUGCUGUACAGCAGAAGUUGAAGGAACAUUGUAAAUCAACUAUAAUAAAUUAGGAGUUCUCGUUGUGGCUCAGUGGUAAAGAACCUGACUAGUAUUCAUGAGGACUCGGGUUUGAUCCCUGACCUUGCUCAGUGGGUUUAGGAUCCGGCAUUGUCGUGAGCUGUGGUUUAGAUUGCAGACGUGGCUUGGAUUGCAUGUUGCUGAGGCUGUGUUGUAGGCCAGCAGCUGCAACUCCAAUUUGACCCCUAGCCUGGGAAUUUCCAUAUGCUGCACCUGUGGCCUUAAAAAAAAAAGAAAGGGAGAGAUCCAGUGUUGCCCAGUUGGUAAAGAUACUUAGCUAUGUGGAUGCCAUAUCUGUGGCUUCAGCUACUGCCUCCGACACUAGCCUAUGUCAGUACCUGACCCCUUUGCUAUUCUGUGAGAGUAUUUUAGAAUGGCAGAAAUGCCUUGAUCAUUUAUGAUGAGUUAUCCAAGCAGGCUAUUGCUUAUUGUCAGAUAUCUCUGCUGCUCUGCAGACCCUUCUGAUGCUUGUGAGCCCUAAACUAGUGAUGUGUUUUACCUACACUCCUUGACUUUCAUUCCAACUAAUGUCAUUUCUAUCACUAACAAACAGAUCUUGGAAGCAGAAUUGUUCUGCAGAGGUAUCUGCCCUGCCAUUAACUUGUGUUUUUUGUGUCCUAUGUCAGAUCUGCUGUCCACAUUAGAGCUGUGAAGCAGGUACAGGUACCACAAAGCUGGAAUUGGCUCCUUGUGGUGAGGUUGCUGCUUUUGCCCAAUGUGGUUCUGACCUCCAUGCUUCCACUCAACUACUCUUGAGACGUGAAGUUCGCUGGCUGGGGAUCAAACCCUCACCAUAGCAGUGACCUGAGUUAUAGCAGUGACAACAAUGGAUCCUACACCUGCUGAGCCACAAGAGAAUUCCAGUAAGCAUCUUGAUAAACUGGAGCUGUGUUUUUUUUGCUGAAGUAUUUAAAAGCAAAUCUUAAAUGGCAUGCUGUUUUAUCUAACUGCUUUCAUGCUUUGAAAGACAAAUAAUUUUUUCUUACAUAACCACAAAACCAUUUAUUCACCUAACAAAUAUUUCCAAAGCUCUUAUUUCUCUGUCUCAAAAUUGUCUUUUUACAAUUAUUUUUUCAAAUCAGAAUCCAAAUAAGGUCCACACACUGAACUUAGUUCUUACAGUCUCUAAGAUCUCUUUUCAUGUGGAGAAGUGCUUCUUUUCCCCUCCCUCAUGCCAUUUAUUUCUUGAAGAAAGUGGGUCAGGAGUCCUGUAGAAUGUCUCAGUUGCAUCCUUGUGGUGGUUAAUUUGCUUCUCCAUCCUCUGUAUUUCCUGUUUUAUAGAAGUUAGAUCUAAAGACUUGAUUAUAUUCUGUGUUAAGUUUUUGACAAGACUACAUUGUAGGUGAUGUUAUAGACUUCAUAUUAUCACCUGGGGAACCAAGUGUCAGAUUUUCUCACUUUUAGCAAUGCUAAAAUUAUUUAGGUGGUGACACCCUGAUUUCUUCAUUGUAAAGUUUUCCAACAGUCUUUUAACUAAUGAUUUCAGUAUUUCUCGAUGACUGUUGUCUGAUUCAGUUUGAAAUAAUUAGGGAUUGAUUAUGUAUUUUGGAUAUGCUGGGUCAAAUAAGAUAAAUUAAAAUUUAAUUUUUUUUUUUUAUGGCUACACCUGUGGCAUAUGGAAGUUCCCAGGCAAGGAGUCAAAUUGGAGCUGCAGGUGAGGCCCCACAGCCAUGGCAAUGCCAGAUACUUGAUCCACUGAGCAAGGCCAGGCAUCAAACCCACAUCCUCAUGGACAGUAUGUCAGGUUCUUAACCUUUUGAGCCACAACAGGAACUCCUUUUCUUUAUUUAAAUAAAACUAUGAAGCAGGGAAAGG